UACAGAGGGCGCAAGCGUUGCUCGGAUUCAUUGGGCGUAAAGGGUGUGUAGGUGGCGCCGUAAGUCGGGUGUGAAAUUUCGGAGCUUAACUCCGAAACUGCAUUCGAUACUGCGGUGCUUGAGGACUGGAGAGGAGACUGGAAUUCAUGGUGUAGCAGUGAAAUGCGUAGAGAUCAUGAGGAAGACCAGUGGCGAAGGCGGGUCUCUGGACAGUUCCUGACACUGAGACACGAAGGCCAGGGGAGCAAACGGG
rnacentral:rRNA from 1 species